GUAUAAGAAGCGAGAAAUUUGCAUUCGGUUUCGGCCCGAAUUUUAGAGGUGAAAGUCCUUUUUUAUAUU
rnacentral:tRNA from 1 species